AGAGUUUGAUCCUGGCUCAGAUUGAACGCUAGCGGGAUGCUUUACACAUGCAAGUCGAACGGCAGCACGAGAGAGCUUGCUCUCUUGGUGGCGAGUGGCGGACGGGUGAGUAAUAUAUCGGAACGUGCCCAGUAGCGGGGGAUAACUACUCGAAAGAGUGGCUAAAACCGCAUACGCCCUACGGGGGAAAGGGGGGGAUCGCAAGACCUCUCACUAUUGGAGCGGCCGAUAUCGGAUUAGCUAGUUGGUGGGGUAAAGGCUCACCAAGGCAACGAUCCGUAGCUGGUUUGAGAGGACGACCAGCCACACUGGGACUGAGACACGGCCCAGACUCCUACGGGAGGCAGCAGUGGGGAAUUUUGGACAAUGGGGGAAACCCUGAUCCAGCCAUCCCGCGUGUAUGAUGAAGGCCUUCGGGUUGUAAAGUACUUUUGGCAGAGAAGAAAAGGCAUCCCCUAAUACGGGAUGCUGCUGACGGUAUCUGCAGAAUAAGCACCGGCUAACUACGUGCCAGCAGCCGCGGUAAUACGUAGGGUGCAAGCGUUAAUCGGAAUUACUGGGCGUAAAGCGUGUGUAGGCGGUUCGGAAAGAAAGAUGUGAAAUCCCAGGGCUCAACCUUGGAACUGCAUUUUUAACUGCCGAGCUAGAGUAUGUCAGAGGGGGGUAGAAUUCCACGUGUAGCAGUGAAAUGCGUAGAUAUGUGGAGGAAUACCGAUGGCGAAGGCAGCCCCCUGGGAUAAUACUGACGCUCAGACACGAAAGCGUGGGGAGCAAACAGGAUUAGAUACCCUGGUAGUCCACGCCCUAAACGAUGUCAACUAGCUGUUGGGGCCGUUAGGCCUUAGUAGCGCAGCUAACGCGUGAAGUUGACCGCCUGGGGAGUACGGUCGCAAGAUUAAAACUCAAAGGAAUUGACGGGGACCCGCACAAGCGGUGGAUGAUGUGGAUUAAUUCGAUGCAACGCGAAAAACCUUACCUACCCUUGACAUGUCUGGAAAGCCGAAGAGAUUUGGCCGUGCUCGCAAGAGAACCGGAACACAGGUGCUGCAUGGCUGUCGUCAGCUCGUGUCGUGAGAUGUUGGGUUAAGUCCCGCAACGAGCGCAACCCUUGUCAUUAGUUGCUACGCAAGAGCACUCUAAUGAGACUGCCGGUGACAAACCGGAGGAAGGUGGGGAUGACGUCAAGUCCUCAUGGCCCUUAUGGGUAGGGCUUCACACGUCAUACAAUGGUCGGGACAGAGGGUCGCCAACCCGCGAGGGGGAGCCAAUCUCAGAAACCCGAUCGUAGUCCGGAUCGCAGUCUGCAACUCGACUGCGUGAAGUCGGAAUCGCUAGUAAUCGCGGAUCAGAAUGUCGCGGUGAAUACGUUCCCGGGUCUUGUACACACCGCCCGUCACACCAUGGGAGUGGGUUUCACCAGAAGUAGGUAGCCUAACCGCAAGGAGGGCGCUUACCACGGUGGGAUUCAUGACUGGGGUGAAGUCGUUAACAAGGUAGCCGUAUCGGAAGGUGCGGCUG
rnacentral:rRNA from 1 species